ACUAAUUUGUACUUGUCCGAGAUCAAGCGGAUUAGAGUAGACCACUUCUCCUCUCUCAUUUGCAUUCCGGCCGAGGUCGAAACCCUAAACCCAGUAUCUGUAUAUGCUCGAGUGCGGUAUCGGAUCUUCUUCAUCCGUUUUACGCCAUGGGAGCGAGCCGAAAGCUUCAGGGUGAGAUCGAUCGGGUCCUGAAGAAGGUCCAGGAGGGUGUCGAUGUCUUUGACAGCAUCUGGAACAAGGUGUACGACACUGAGAAUGCGAACCAGAAGGAGAAAUUUGAGGCGGAUUUGAAGAAGGAGAUAAAAAAGCUCCAGCGAUACCGAGAUCAGAUCAAGACCUGGAUACAGUCCAGUGAGAUAAAGGAUAAGAAGGUUAGUGCCUCUUAUGAGCAGGCUCUGAUGGAUGCUCGAAAGCUUAUUGAGCGUGAAAUGGAAAGAUUUAAGGUCUGUGAGAAGGAAACCAAAACAAAAGCCUUCUCUAAGGAGGGUCUAGGUCAACAACCAAAAACUGAUCCCAGAGAGAAGGCCAAAGCAGAAACACGGGAUUGGCUGAACAAUGUGGUUGGGGAUUUGGAGAGUCAAAUUGAUAACUUUGAAGCUGAGAUAGAGGGACUGUCUGUUAAGAAGGGAAAGGCUAGGCCUCCUCGGCUGGCACAUUUGGAGACAUCCAUUGCUAGGCAUAAGGCUCAUAUAAUGAAGUUGGAGUUAAUUUUGAGGCUACUCGAUAAUGAUGAGCUAAGUCCUGAGCAGGUAAAUGAUGUUAGAGAUUUUAUAGAAGACUAUGUGGAGCGUAAUCAGGAGGAUCCUGAUGAGUUUAGUGAUGUUGAUGAACUUUAUAGCUCUUUACCUUUAGACAAGGUGGAAUCCCUUGAAGAACUUGUUUCACAUGGUCCCUCUAGUCUUGUAAAGGGCGUUGGCUCUGUUUCUACAAUUAAGAAUUCCAUUAAUUCUGCUCAAGACCAAAGUGAAGAAACAGCUUCUCAGGACGCUAAUGCUGACAGCACUCCGAGAACUCCGCCAUCAAAAAUCGUAGCCCUAGGGUCUCCUCCAACAGCAGCUCCAUCUGCUGUAGCUCUGGGGGCAUCAGCUGGAUCCAAUUCUGCUGCUACUUCUAAUGCUUCUGUGCGUCCAUCAGUUGGUCCAACUGCAACAUCAAUAUUUUCUGGUCCUGUUCGCGGUGCAUCUGACAGUUUAUCUGCCACUACCCCCCCACUUGUAAACUCAUCUGUUUUAGUUAAGGAAGAUGAUAUCAUCUCCUUCCCUGGAAGGAGGUCUCCUGCUAUCCCUGAGAUUGCGCUAGGAAGAGGCCUAAAUAGAGUACCAUCGAAUCAAGCAUCCACUAGUACUCCCAUAAGUUUAAGCUCUGUUGGCAUUUCUAGCCCUGGAGCUCUCAGUUCAGUCUCUGCAGCAUCCGACAUGAGCAAGAGAACCAUUCUGAGUGUUGAUGAAAGAAUUCCUAGUGCUGCUCUUGCUCAGCCAUUGGUUUCUCCUUUAAGUAGUAAAAUGCUACUACAGCAGGUUUCACAAGCUAAUGAUGGGACUGUCCCGAUUGAUUCAAUUAAUUUGGCUGAAAGUCCUAUUGUUGGUGGAAGAGUUUUUUCACCAUCUACUGUCAGUGGAGGCCAAUGGAGGCCUCAAAGUGCAACUUCCUUUCAGAAUCAAAAUGAAAUGGCACAAUUACGUGGUAGACCUGAGAUUGCUCCAGACCAGAGGGAGAAGUAUCUGCAACGUCUCCAACAAGUGCAGCAACAAGGCCAUGGUACCCUUCUUGGUGUCCCUCAUUUAACUGGAGCUAAUACCAAACAAUUCCCUAUGCAACAACAGAGUCCCCUUUUACAACAGGUCGGAAUAGGGCUUAAUGUUCAGCCACCAGGUUUAGUUGCUGCUACAUCUGUUCAACAACAGCUGCAGGCUCCCAUGCAUAAACAAUCACAUCAUAUAUUGCCAUUAACCGGAGCAAAAGAAACUGAUAUGGGCAGCGCUAAAGUAGACGAGCUGCAACAGCAGACUCUGCUGGACGAUUUGAAUGUGGAGCCUGCUGUGAGUAUUGGUCUUGACAAGGGUAUCAAUGAUGAUGAUUUGAAGUCAACAUAUGCGGUCUCAAGUUCUGCAUCUAUAGUUGAUGCUAGUCAAUUACCCAGAGGUACAGAUCUCUCUCCAGGACAAGUAUUGCAAUCAAGCCAGUCUUCAGCCAGUCUUGGUGUCAUUGGAAGAAGAAGCGUUUCAGAACUUGGUGCUAUCGGUGAUAACCUUAGUGGUUUAGCUGUGAAUUCUGGUGGCCUGCACGAUCAGAACUAUAAUUUGCAGAUGCUUGAGGCAGCUCUUCGCAAGCUUCCUCAACCCAAGGAUUCACAACGAAUCAAGAAUUAUACGCCGAGGCAUCCCACCGUGACUCCUGCUAGCUAUCCUCAGACUCGUGCUGACAUUUUUGAAAAUCCAGCCUUUUGGGAGAGGCUGGGUAUGGACCAAUCUGGCACUGAUACGUUAUUCUUUGCAUUUUACUAUCAACAGAACACCUACCAACAAUACUUAGCAGCGAGAGAAUUGAAGCGACAGUCCUGGAGGUACCAUAGGAAAUAUAACACAUGGUUUCAGCGACAUGAGGAGCCUAAAGUUACGACAGAUGAAUUUGAGAAAGGAACAUAUGUGUAUUUUGACUUUCAUAUUACAGAUGAUAAUCAACAGCAUGGAUGGUGCCAGCGGAUUAAAACUGAGUUUACAUUUGAAUACAAUUACCUUGAAGAUGACCUUGUGUUAUAGACUUUCUAAAGCAUCAUACAUUGGUAAAGGAACUCUGCAACUCCUGCAUCUACAGGUUGAUUAUUAAUGAUUAGGCAAAGCAGCAGGCCAGCUAUAGUGGCAAUUUGCCUGUCAAAACAUAUUGAAAGUCAGCAUAAAUGUAUCCUAUUGUAUCAAGCUAUUUUUCAUUGUCAUUUGUAAUUUCGGUUUAUUUUUCAAUAAUUUUUAAUCUUAGUGAUUUUGGAUUGGAAAAAUAGCAAGUGAAUGUUAUUUGCCAAAUUUAUUUCUUCUAUUAAAUCUUCCUUAAUUACACAAUCAUAGUAGGAUUAUAAGUGGAAAUGCAUUUGUUUAAUAUUUAAAUUUGAAAAAAAA